UCCUUGGAGGACUAGUGGUUAGGCCACGGUGCUCUCACCACCGGGGCCUGGAUUCGAUUCACGGCCAGGGAA
rnacentral:tRNA from 1 species